rnacentral:rRNA from 1 species
UAAGACAGGUGGUGCAUGGCUGUCGUCAGCUCGUGUCGUGAGAUGUUGGGUUAAGUCCCGCAACGAGCGCAACCCUUGNUUAUUAGUUGCCAGCAUUAAGUUGGGCACUCUAAUGAGACUGCCGGUGACAAACCGGAGGAAGGUGGGGAUGACGUCAAGUCAUCAUGCCCCUUAUGACCUGGGCUACACACGUGCUACAAUGGGCAGUACAACGAGAAGCGAGCCUGCGAAGGCAAGCGAAUCUCUGAAAGCUGUUCUCAGUUCGGACNUGCAGUCUGCAACUCGACUGCAC